rnacentral:siRNA from 1 species
GAGGCGACGGUGGUGACAGUGAGA